rnacentral:lncRNA from 1 species
UGAGUGGAUAUUUUUAACAGUUGUUUGCCUCCAUCUACCCAUUUAAUUUCAGGACCAGAAUGCUUUCCAACCCCCACUUCUUGAUAACUAAGAUAGCCUGAUGGAAGAUUUGCUGACACUGGAAUGUGUUGGUCAUUUGUCACCACUCUUCCAUCCUUUAUUAGUGGAAGCCAGGAAUAACCAACUUGUGUUUCAACAACAUCUUUCUUCUUU